rnacentral:lncRNA from 1 species
CAGCCUUGAGGAUAGGGGCCCACCGCGGAAGUGGGGCCUGACAGCCGGUGGAGUUGCUUUUACCGUGAGCGCUUCCCUUUGCGGUGGAGAGCCUCCAUCUGCGAGGAAGAGGACGCACGCUCGCACGCACUCAAGGCCUCCUUUGCUCAAUCAGCCCUACUUCCAAAGGCCUGAGGACAGGAUGGGGGAUCUAAAGGUUACUCCAGUGCCCUCCCAAACCACUGGUGACUGACAGAGCCAACAGAGCUCUACCACAAGGCAUGGUGGCACAAGCCGGUAAGGGGACAUAAGAGACAGGUCCACGAGUUCAAGGCCAUCCUUUAGUAGAGAGUGAAUUCCAGGCCAACUGAAACAUGAGCCCCUUUCUCAAACACAGUAGCCAUCCUUUAUGAUUUCUGGACAUGGAUAAGAAGCUCAAAGACCAGGCGCGUGCGUGCCUACCACAGUCACACAACCCAUGCUGAUGCAGUCCUAGGAGGCUGAGGCAGAAUUGUAAACUUGAGGUUAGUGUGAACUAGUGAGACCCUGAGUUUAAAAGAAAAAAAAUAAAUUCACUUGGGGCCAGAGAUGACUCAAGAGGCUAAAAACACUGCCUGUCCUUCUAGAGGACCCUGGUUCAAUUCCCAGCACUCACCUAGCAGCUUACAAAGGUCUGCAGCUCCAGCUCUAAGUGAUCUAAUAUCCUCACACAAUUACACAGGCAAUCAAGAAUACCAAUGCAUUUUUAAAAUAGGAAUAAAAUUUUUUCACUCACUGGACCCCAAAAGAUUGCCACUGCUCGGACAGGUACAUGAUGUGUUUUCACUGGUAACCAUUACUUCUACACAAGUCUCGCCAUCUUCAGCACUGCC